GAUGAACGCUGGUGGCGUGCCUAACACAUGCAAGUCGAGCGAUUCUCUUCGGAGAAGAGCGGCGGACGGGUGAGUAACGCGUGGGUAACCUGCCCUGUACACACGGAUAACAUACCGAAAGGUAUGCUAAUACGAGAUAACAUGCUUUUAUCGCAUGGUAGAAGUAUCAAAGCUUUUGCGGUACAGGAUGGAGCCGCGUCUGAUUAGCUAGUUGGUGAGGUAACGGCUCACCAAGGCGACGAUCAGUAGCCGACCUGAGAGGGUGGUCGGACACAUUGGAACUGGGACACGGUCCGAACUCCUACGGGAGGCAGCAGUGGGGGAUAUUGCACAAUGGGGGGAAGCAUGAUGCAGCAACGGCGCGUGAGCGAUGAAGGCCUUCGGGUCGUAAAGCUCUGUCCUCAAGGAAGAUAAUGACGGUACUUGAGGAGGAAGCCCCGGCUAACUACGUG
rnacentral:rRNA from 1 species